UUUAUUUUUUUGAGCAGUGUAUUAAAAAGCAUUUAAAACCUUGUGAAGUAUAAUGUCAAUAACAGAUAUGUGAGUUAUUUUAAUAUUUUCCGGUGUCUUACCUUGACUGUAGCUGGUAAUGUCGGUAAAUUGGUCGAGCUAGGUGGGAGUGGUUUCAGCAACACGUCACCUCAGCUCCUCUUUGCCCAUUUUUUGUUAUCCAGGAAAGACGUGCGGUGACGCACUGCCAAGAUGGCACUGGCCAGCUCCGCCAAUUUUGAGCUUCAAAACGGCUCUUCAGAAACCAAUGGGUGACGUCACAGACGCUACGUCCAUUUUUAUAUACACAGUCUAUGGUUUUUCCCUGUGUGUCUUUCUGUCUGCAGGUGGGCGUGGUCUUCCUGGCUCCUGCGCUGUGCUCUCACACACCUGCACCUCGUUCGCAAUCAGCCACCAGUUAUCUACCCCGGUCCAGCACGCCAGCAUUCGCCAGAUCAACCUACCUGCCAGUCUCCUGCCUGCCCACCAGUUUCGCCUACACCACCUCAACUCACCGUCUUGCCUGGAUUCUCCGCUAUGGACUCGGAUCACUCUCCGCCCCAACUGAUGCUUGUCUAUCUUAAUAAACUCCCUUUACUAGUAAAUCA